rnacentral:rRNA from 1 species
AGCGAACGCUGGCGGCAGGCUUAACACAUGCAAGUCGAGCGGACCUUUCGGGGUCAGCGGCGGACGGGUGAGUAACGCGUGGGAACGUGCCUUCCGGUUCGGAAUAACCCUGGGAAACUAGGGCUAAUACCGGAUACGCCCUUAUGGGGAAAGGUUUACUGCCGGAAGAUCGGCCCGCGUCUGAUUAGCUAGUUGGUGGGGUAACGGCCUACCAAGGCGACGAUCAGUAGCUGGUCUGCGAGGAUGCUCAGCCACACUGGGACUGAGACACGGCCCAGACUCCUACGGGAGGCAGCAGUGGGGAAUAUUGGACGACAGGCGCAAGCCUGAUCCAGCCAUGCCGCGUGAGUAAUGAAGGCCUGAGGGUUGUAAAGCUCUUUUAUCCGGGACGAUAAUGACGGUACCGGAGGAAUAAGCCCCGGCUAACUUCGUG